rnacentral:rRNA from 1 species
GAAGCUGCGGCAGCGACGCUGAUGCGUUGUUGGGUAGGGGAGCGUUCUGUAAGCCUGCGAAGGUGGCCUGUGAGGGUUGCUGGAGGUAUCAGAAGUGCGAAUGCUGACAUAAGUAACGAUAAAGCGGGUGAAAAGCCCGCUCGCCGGAAGACCAAGGGUUCCUGUCCAACGUUAAUCGGGGCAGGGUGAGUCGACCCCUAAGGCGAGGCCGAAAGGCGUAGUCGAUGGGAAACGGGUUAAUAUUCCCGUACUUGGUGUUACUGCGAAGGGGGGACGGAGAAGGCUAUGUUGGCCGGGCGACGGUUGUCCCGGUUUAAGCGUGUAGGUGUGUGUUCCAGGUAAAUCCGGUUCACUUUAACACUGAGGCGUGAUGACGAGGCACUACGGUGCUGAAGCAACAAAUGCCCUGCUUCCAGGAAAAGCCUCUAAGCAUCAGGUAACAUCAAAUCGUACCCCAAACCGACACAGGUGGUCAGGUAGAGAAUACCAAGGCGCUUGAGAGAACUCGGGUGAAGGAACUAGGCAAAAUGGUGCCGUAACUUCGGGAGAAGGCACGCUGACACGUAGGUGAAGUGAUUUACUCAUGGAGCUGAAGUCAGUCGAAGAUACCAGCUGGCUGCAACUGUUUAUUAAAAACACAGCACUGUGCAAACACGAAAGUGGACGUAUACGGUGUGACGCCUGCCCGGUGCCGGAAGGUUAAUUGAUGGGGUCAGCGCAAGCGAAGCUCCUGAUCGAAGCCCCGGUAAACGGCGGCCGUAACUAUAACGGUCCUAAGGUAGCGAAAUUCCUUGUCGGGUAAGUUCCGACCUGCACGAAUGGCGUAAUGAUGGCCAGGCUGUCUCCACCCGAGACUCAGUGAAAUUGAACUCGCUGUGAAGAUGCAGUGUACCCGCGGCAAGACGGAAAGACCCCGUGAACCUUUACUAUAGCUUGACACUGAACAUUGAGCCUUGAUGUGUAGGAUAGGUGGGAGGCUUUGAAGUGUGGACGCCAGUCUGCAUGGAGCCGGCCUUGAAAUACCACCCUUUAAUGUUUGAUGUUCUAACGUGGACCCGUGAUCCGGGUUGCGGACAGUGUCUGGUGGGUAGUUUGACUGGGGCGGUCUCCUCCUAAAGAGUAACGGAGGAGCACGAAGGUUGGCUAAUCCUGGUCGGACAUCAGGAGGUUAGUGCAAUGGCAUAAGCCAGCUUGACUGCGAGCGUGACGGCGCGAGCAGGUGCGAAAGCAGGUCAUAGUGAUCCGGUGGUUCUGAAUGGAAGGGCCAUCGCUCAACGGAUAAAAGGUACUCCGGGGAUAACAGGCUGAUACCGCCCAAGAGUUCAUAUCGACGGCGGUGUUUGGCACCUCGAUGUCGGCUCAUCACAUCCUGGGGCUGAAGUAGGUCCCAAGGGUAUGGCUGUUCGCCAUUUAAAGUGGUACGCGAGCUGGGUUUAGAACGUCGUGAGACAGUUCGGUCCCUAUCUGCCGUGGGCGCUGGAGAACUGAGGGGGGCUGCUCCUAGUACGAGAGGACCGGAGUGGACGCAUCACUGGUGUUCGGGUUGUCAUGCCAAUGGCACUGCCCGGUAGCUAAAUGCGGAAGAGAUAAGUGCUGAAAGCAUCUAAGCACGAAACUUGCCCCGAGAUGAGUUCUCCCUGAGACUUAGAGUCUCCUGAAGGAACGUUGAAGACGACGACGUUGAUAGGCCGGGUGUGUAAGCGCAGCGAUGCGUUGAGCUAACCGGUACUAAUGAACCGUGAGGCUUAACCUUACA